rnacentral:rRNA from 1 species
UACGUAGGGGGCUAGCGUUGUCCGGAUUUAUUGGGCGUAAAGAGCGUGUAGGCGGCCAGGUAGGUCCGGUGUGAAAACUCGAGGCUUAACCUCGAGAUGUCAUCGGAAACCAUCUGGCUAGAGUCCGGAAGAGGAGAGUGGAAUUCCUGGUGUAGCGGUGAAAUGCGCAGAUAUCAGGAGGAACACCAAUGGCGAAGGCAGCUCGCUGGGACGGUACUGACACUGAGACGCGAAAGCGUGGGGAGCAAACAGG